rnacentral:rRNA from 1 species
AACGAACGCUGGCGGCAUGCCUAACACAUGCAAGUCGAACGAGACCUUCGGGUCUAGUGGCGCACGGGUGCGUAACGCGUGGGAACCUGCCUUUAGGUUCGGAAUAACUCAGAGAAAUUUGAGCUAAUACCGGAUGAUGUCUUCGGACCAAAGAUUUAUCGCCUUUAGAUGGGCCCGCGUUGGAUUAGCUAGUUGGUGGGGUAAAGGCCUACCAAGGCGACGAUCCAUAGCUGGUCUGAGAGGAUGAUCAGCCACACUGGGACUGAGACACGGCCCAGACUCCGACGGGAGGCAGCAGUGGGGAAUAUUGGACAAGGGGCGAAAGCCUGAUCCAGCAAUGCCGCGUGAGUGAUGAAGGCCUUAGGGUUGUAAAGCUCUUUUACCCGAGAUGAUAAUGACAGUAUCGGGAGAAUAAGCUCCGGCUAACUCCGUG